GAAGCUUGCUUCUCUUGAGAGCGGCGGACGGGUGAGUAAUGCCUAGGAAUCUGCCUGGUAGUGGGGGAUAACGCUCGGAAACGGACGCUAAUACCGCAUACGUCCUACGGGAGAAAGCAGGGGACCUUCGGGCCUUGCGCUAUCAAAUGAGCCUAGGUCGGAUUAGCUAGUUGGUGAGGUAAUGGCUCACCAAGGCGACGAUCCGUAACUGGUCUGAGAGGAUGAUCAGUCACACUGGAACUGAGACACGGUCCAGACUCCUACGGGAGGCAGCAGUGGGGAAUAUUGGACAAUGGGCGAAAGCCUGAUCCAGCCAUGCCGCGUGUGUGAAGAAGGUCUUCGGAUUGUAAAGCACUUUAAGUUGGGAGGAAGGGCAGUAAAUUAAUACUUUGCUGUUUUGACGUUACCGACAGAAUAAGCACCGGCUAACUCUGUGCCAGCAGCCGCGGUAAUACAGAGGGUGCAAGCGUUAAUCGGAAUUACUGGGCGUAAAGCGCGCGU
rnacentral:rRNA from 1 species